rnacentral:rRNA from 1 species
CUCGUGUUGUGAAAUGUUGGGUUAAGUCCCGUAACGAGCGCAACCCCUAUCCUUAUUUGCCAGCACUUCGGGUGGGAACUCUAAGGAGACUGCCGGUGACAAACCGGAGGAAGGUGGGGAUGACGUCAAGUCAUCAUGGCCCUUACGAGUAGGGCUACACACGUGCUACAAUGGCCGGUACAGAGGGCUGCAAACUCGCGAGGGUAAGCUAAUCUCACAAAACCGGUCGUAGUCCGGAUUGGAGUCUGCAACUCGACUCCAUGAAAGUCGGAAUCCUAGUAAUCGUGAAUCAGAAUGUCACGGUGAAUACGUUCCCGGGUCUUGUACACACCGAA